rnacentral:rRNA from 1 species
GACGAACGCUGGCGGCGUGCUUAACACAUGCAAGUCGAACGGAAAGGCCCUGCUUUUGUGGGAUGCUCGAGUGGCGAACGGGUGAGUAACACGUGAGUAACCUGCCCUUGACUUUGGGAUAACUUCAGGAAACUGGGGCUAAUACCGGAUAGGAGCUCCUGCUGCAUGGUGGGGGUUGGAAAGUUUCGGCGGUUGGGGAUGGACUCGCGGCUUAUCAGCUUGUUGGUGGGGUAGUGGCUUACCAAGGCUUUGACGGGUAGCCGGCAUGAGAGGGUGACCGGCCACAUUGGGACUGAGAUACGGCCCAGACUCCUACGUGGGGCAGCAGUGGGGAAUAUUGCACAAUGGGCGGAAGCCUGAUGCAGCAACGCCGCGUGCGGGAUGACGGCCUUCGGGUGGUAAACCGCUUUCGCCUGUGACGAAGCGUGAGUGACGGUAAUGGGUAAAGAAGCACCGGCUAACUACGUG